UACGUAGGGUGCAAGCGUUGUCCGGAAUUAUUGGGCGUAAAGAGCUCGUAGGCGGUUUGUCGCGUCUGCUGUGAAAUCCCGAGGCUCAACCUCGGGCCUGCAGUCGAUACGGGCAGACUAGAGUGUUGCAGGGGAGACUGGAAUUCCUGGUGUAGCGGUGAAAUGCGCAGAUAUCAGGAGGAACACCGGUGGCGAAGGCGGGUCUCUGGGCAACAACUGACGCUGAGGAGCGAAAGCGUGGGGAGCGAACAGG
rnacentral:rRNA from 1 species